rnacentral:Y_RNA from 1 species
GGUUGAUCCGAAGAUGAUGAGUUAUCUUAAUUGAUUGUUCACAGUCAGUUACAGAUCCAACUCCUUGCUCUAUUCUUUUUUCUCUUCUUACUACUGUACUUGGCUAGGAAA